UUUGAUCCUGGCUCAGAUUGAACGCUGGCGGCAGGCCUAACACAUGCAAGUCGAGCGGUAACAUUUCUAGCUUGCUAGAAGAUGACGAGCGGCGGACGGGUGAGUAAUGCUUGGGAACAUGCCUUGAGGUGGGGGACAACAGUUGGAAACGACUGCUAAUACCGCAUAAUGUCUACGGACCAAAGGGGGCUUCGGCUCUCGCCUUUAGAUUGGCCCAAGUGAGAUUAGCUAGUUGGUGAGGUAAUGGCUCACCAAGGCGACGAUCCCUAGCUGGUUUGAGAGGAUGAUCAGCCACACUGGGACUGAGACACGGCCCAGACUCCUACGGGAGGCAGCAGUGGGGAAUAUUGCACAAUGGGCGCAAGCCUGAUGCAGCCAUGCCGCGUGUGUGAAGAAGGCCUUCGGGUUGUAAAGCACUUUCAGUCAGGAGGAAAGGUUAGUAGUUAAUACC
rnacentral:rRNA from 1 species